rnacentral:lncRNA from 1 species
GCAGAGCAAGUGAAGCAAGCAGAGGCCAGAGCAGAGAGCAAAGCGAGCAGCUGCGGCGUUCCAUCGCAUCUCCGGCACGCCGGCGACCGAGGCCGAUCAGGAUCAGGCAGGCAAGAUGGUGCAUCAAGCUCCCAAGGAGGUGAUCCCGCUGAUGACGCCGUACAAGAUGGGCCAGUUCCAGCUCUCCCACCGGGUGGUCCUUGCGCCCCUGACGCGGUGUCGCUCCUACGGCAACGUGCCGCAGCCGCACGCCGCCGUGUACUACUCGCAGCGCGCCACCAAGGGCGGCCUCGUCAUCGCCGAGGCCACGGGGGUGUCCGCCACCGCGCAGGGCUACCCGGAAACGCCCGGCAUCUGGACGCAGGAGCAGGUCGAGGCGUGGAAGCCCAUCGUCGAUGCCGUCCACCGCAAGGGCGCGCUCUUCUUCUGCCAGAUUUGGCACGUCGGCAGGGUCUCCAACAACAGUGAGUUUCCAUCUACGAGCAU